rnacentral:rRNA from 1 species
AGAACGAACGCUGGCGGCAUGCCUAACACAUGCAAGUCGAACGAGACCCCAACUUCGGUUGGACGUCUAGUGGCGCACGGGUGCGUAACGCGUGGGAAUCUGCCCUUCGGUUCGGAAUAACUCGGAGAAAUCCGUGCUAAUACCGGAUAAUGACGUAAGUCCAAAGAUUUAUCGCCGAGGGAUGAGCCCGCGUAGGAUUAGCUUGUUGGUGAGGUAAAGGCUCACCAAGGCGACGAUCCUUAGCUGGUCUGAGAGGAUGAUCAGCCACACUGGGACUGAGACACGGCCCAGACUCCUACGGGAGGCAGCAGUGGGGAAUAUUGGACAAUGGGCGAAGGCCUGAUCCAGCAAUGCCGCGUGAGUGAUGAAGGCCUUAGGGUUGUAAAGCUCUUUACCGGGAUGAUAAUGACAGUACCGGAGAAUAAGCUCCGGCUAACUCCGUGCCAGCAGCCGC